UACGUAGGGGUCCGAGCGUUUGUCCGGAAUUAUUGGGCGUAAAGAGCUCGUAGGCGGUUUGUCGCGUCUGCUGUGAAAUCCCGAGGCUCAACCUCGGGCCUGCAGUGGGUACGGGCAGACUGGAGUGCGGUAGGGGAGAAUGGAAUUCCUGGUGUAGCGGUGGAAUGCGUAGAGAUCCGGAAGAACACCGGUGGCGAAGGCGGCCUGCUGGGCAGUGACUGUAAUGGUCAAUAGCUGACGCUGAGGCACGAAGGCUAGGGGAGCAAACGGG
rnacentral:rRNA from 1 species